CUGCUUUAUAAUGAAAUCUUCAGCAAGAUUUAGAUGGUCAUUCUCUAUUGGAUGACCUUUGACCUGUUCUACAGUAUCAUGAUGAUAUCAAAUCUGCAGCACAGGUAUUAAAUGCUCUCAGCAUCAAAGUCUGAAUGAAACUGAUCAUUAAAACAGUGUUUAGAGGGAGAAGAUCCACCCAAAAUAACAUGAAGUAAAUCAGGAGUGUCUGUUUCUGAAAAUGAUCAAUAGAAAUUUAUUAGCAAAGAUACUAAAUGACAAAACAGUGUUUCUGCUGUCUUCAGGGAAAUGAUCUGGAGUGUGUUUGCAUAUUGAUCAGAUGCUUCAGUGCUCUGAGAGUGUUUAUAGUGCUGUGAGUUUAACACUUCAUCACUGACACACACAACAAUCUUCAUCAACAUGACCUUCAUCAUCAUCUUCAUCUGGACUCUCACAGCGUUUGCUCAAGAGUGUAGAGGACAGAUCACCGUCACUCAGAGUCCCUCAAUGACAGCAGCUCAACCAGGACAAACUGUGAACAUCAACUGUAAAACCAGCAGAGAUGUGUACAGUUAUUCUGGGACACACUAUUUCAGCUGGUACUUACAGAAACCUGGAGAAGCUCCUAAACUCCUGAUUUAUGCAUCAAGCAGCCGUCAGUCAGGAACUCCAUCUAGAUUCAGUGGCAGUGGAUCUAACAGUGAUUUCACUCUGACCAUCAGUGGAGUCCAGACUGAAGAUGCUGGACAUUAUUACUGUCUGAGUUUAUACUGGCCUGAGAGCAUUCCGUGGUUCACACAGUGAUAAAGAGUCGUACAAAAACCUCCGUCAGUCAGAGUCACAGUGACUGAACUGAUACUGCAGCUGCUCAAAGGAGGAUCUGAAACAACAUCGUCACACAAACAUCUGAAAUAAAAUCAUCUAAAUUAA